rnacentral:lncRNA from 1 species
AUGAGGCUGGAAUGGGGCAGGAAUGGGGCUGGGAAUGGGACUGGGAAUGGGGCUGGGAUGGGACUGGGAAUGGGACUGGGAAUGGGACUGGGAUGGGCUGGGAUGGGGCUGGGAUGGGGCUGGGAUGGGGCUGGGAUGGGGCUGGGAUGGGACUGGGAUGGGACUGGGAUGGAGCUGGGAUGGAGCUGGGAUGGGGCUGGGAUGGGGCUGGGAUGGGGCUGGGAUGGGGCUGGGAUGGAGCUGGGAUGGGGCUGGGAUGGGGCUGGGAUGGAGCUGGGAUGGGGCUGGGAUGGAGCUGGGAUGGGGCUGGGGAUGGGGCUGGAAGCUCCCGUGGGGCAGGAAUGGGGCAGGGAUGGGGCUGGAAUGGGGCAGGGAUGGGGCUGGAAUGGGGCAGGAAUGGGGUUGGAAGCUGCGGUGGGGCCGGGACUGGGUGGAACGGGGCAGAGUGCGGGGGGGUGCGGGCGUCCCACGGGAUGGGACUGGAAGCUCCUGCGGGGCUGGGAUUGGGGUCACAUCCCCACCGAGGGUCGAGAAUGGGUUCGGAAGCUCCUGCAGGGCUCGGGUGGGGCUGUGGGGCGGCCAUGGGGCGGCGAGUGGGGCUCGCAUUCUCCCCGAGCCUCGGGGAUGGGCCGGAGGUGUCACACCCUCCGGUGUCGCCCCCUCCCCAGCCAUGAGGGUCCCCGUGGUCGCGCUGCUGCUGCUGCUCGCCGCUGGCCACCUCGGGGCCGCGCUGGUCCGGCGAGAAGCGGCGAGCGAGGACUCGGAGCCGGACACCGCCGAGGAUUUCCUGACUCGCCACUUCCAGACCUUCUCCGACUUCAUGACCCGGGAGCUGCCGCAGAAGCUGCGGGCGGAGGAGCUGCGCAGCCAGGCCGAGUACGGGGGGCUCGGGUGGGGGGCUCGGGAAGCCCCCCCGGGACCCCCCGAGCAGCGCUGACGGCCGCGUGUCCCGCAGGCAAUACCUGGAUCGGGCUAACAAACAGCUGGAGCCGCUGGCCCGGGAGCUGCGCACCAACGUGCUGGGGCUCUUCUCGUCCCUGCUGCAGCUGGGCAAGGGCGAGGAGCAGGCGGAGACCCCCUGAGACCCCCGGGCUGCGCCCCCACACAGCGCUGAGCCCCCGAUAUGGACCCAAAUACAGCCCUGAGACCCCCUGA